rnacentral:tRNA from 1 species
GCUCUGGUAGCUCAGUUGGUUAGAGCGUGCGACUGUUAAUCGCGAGGUCAUAGGUUCGAUCCCUAUCCGGAGCG